UUCUCUGGGCCGUAACUGACGCUGAGGAGCGAAAGCAUGGGGAGCGAACAGGAUUAGAUACCCUGGUAGUCCAUGCCGUAAACGUUGGGAACUAGAUGUAGGGCUGUUCCACGGAUUCUGUGUCGUAGCUAACGCAUUAAGUUCCCCGCCUGGGGAGUACGGCCGCAAGGCUAAAACUCAAAGGAAUUGACGGGGGCCCGCACAAGCGGCGGAGCAUGCGGAUUAAUUCGAUGCAACGCGAAGAACCUUACCAAGGCUUGACAUAUAGAAGAACGGGCUGGAAACAGUCAACUCUUUGGACACUCCUAUACAGGUGGUGCAUGGUUGUCGUCAGCUCGUGUCGUGAGAUGUUCGGUUAAGUCCGGCAACGAGCGCAACCCUCGUCCUAUGUUGCCAGCGGUUCGGCCGGGAACUCAUGGGAUACUGCCGUGGUCAACACGGAGGAAGGUGGGGAUGACGUCAAAUCAUCAUGCCCCUUAUGUCUUGGGCUUCACGCAUGCUACAAUGGCCGGUACAAAGGGUUGCGAUACCGUGAGGUGGAGCGAAUCCCAAAAAGCCGGUCUCAGUUCGGAUUGGGGUCUGCAACUCGACCCCAUGAAGUCGGAGUCGCUAGUAAUCGCAGAUCAGCAACGCUGCGGUGAAUACGUUCCCGGGCCUUGUACACACCGCCCGUCAAGUCAUGAAAGUCGGUAACACCCGAAGCCGAUGGCCUAACCCCUUGUGGGAGGGAGUCGUCGAAGGUGGGACUGGUGAUUAGGACUAAGUCGUAACAAGGUAACCGUAA
rnacentral:rRNA from 1 species